rnacentral:lncRNA from 1 species
GCCCGCGUCACACUGUCCCGACUUUUACGCCGAUGGCAACACGAUUAUGGAAAUUUUCAAAAUCGGGACUGAUCGUAUCCAGAUCGGGCUAUUCGUAGUGCCAUCUUUAACCAUCUUAGAACCAUCGGCCACUUUUUCUAGCCUUCGGGGACAACUUCGGGAAGGGUUCUAAAUUUUUUAACAUGUUAAAAAAUCCCCGAAGGUGCGUCCGAUGUUGAGGGUUCGUAUUGAGUUCGUAUCACCAUCCUCACCAUCGUAAUGUCACCGGAAAUGCAUCUUUGAACAUCGUAUUGCAUUCGUGUUUCCAUCGUUUCCAUCGGGCAGUUUUGACAUUACGAUGUCUACACGAAUGAAUCACGAAGCUACCCGAAGGUCUCACGAUGGCAACACGACUUCGUGAAGACCUCGUAAUCCCGUCG